rnacentral:lncRNA from 1 species
AGAUCGGUGAUAGAUGUACGGUUCAUUUUUGUUGUGGUAAGGGUUAAGAAUAGCAUAUAUCUUAUGUAAAAAUUUGAAAUAAAUUGAACGGUUGGAUUGAGAUAUAUGAGAUCUUAAAGUUUGAUGUAAAAAGGUCUUUGCGGGAAGAAAAAUGUUUUGAAGGAUUUUAAUAUAUUUUGAGUUUUUAUACAAAACAAAGAGGAUUUU